rnacentral:rRNA from 1 species
AAUAAACUAAAUAAAAUUACAUUUAAAUCCACCUUCAAUAUUAUUUUUCAAUAAUAUAUUCAUUUUAAAUAAAUUUAUUGUAAUCCAUUAUAUUCUUAAUUAUAAUCUACAUCUUGAUCUGAAUUAAUUUUUUAUUUUAAUUUUUAAAUAUUAUUUUUUAUUAAAAAUAUUUUUUUAACAACGAUAUAUAAAAUUAUUAAUUAAGUAAAUUUAAUCGUGGACUAUCAAUUAUUAAACAGAUUCCUCUAAAUGAACUAAAAUACCGCCAUAUUAUUUAAGUUUCAAUAAAUAAUUAUCUACUAUUUUAGUAUUAUAAUUUAAAUUUUUAAUAAUAGGGUAUCUAAU